UAAUACCGGAUACGACCAGUCCUCGCAUGGGGUGCUGGUGGAAAGGGUUUGUACUGGUUCUUGAUGGGCUCACGUCCUAUCAGCUUGUUGGUGAGGUAAUGGCUUACCAAGGCGACGACGGGUAGCCGGCCUGAGAGGGUGACCGGCCACACUGGGACUGAGACACGGCCCAGACUCCUACGGGAGGCAGCAGUGGGGAAUAUUGCACAAUGGGCGCAAGCCUGAUGCAGCGACGCCGCGUGGGGGAUGACGGCCUUCGGGUUGUAAACCUCUUUCAGCAGGGAAGAAGCGAAAGUGACGGUACCUGCAGAAGAAGCGCCGGCUAACUACGUGCCAGCAGCCGCGGUAAUACGUAGGGCGCAAGCGUUGUCCGGAAUUAUUGGGCGUAAAGAGCUCGUAGGCGGUUUGUCGCGUCUGCUGUGAAAGCCCGGGGCUCAACCCCGGGUGUGCAGUGGGUACGGGCAGGCUGGAGUGCAGUAGGGGAGACUGGAAUUCCUGGUGUAGCGGUGAAAUGCGCAGAUAUCAGGAGGAACACCGAUGGCGAAGGCAGGUCUCUGGGCUGUUACUGACGCUGAGGAGCGAAAGCAUGGGGAGCGAACAGGAUUAGAUACCCUGGUAGUCCAUGCCGU
rnacentral:rRNA from 1 species